ensembl:lncRNA
AGUAGCCUCGGUGGGUCCUUGGGAGGGCAGCACCUACAACGCAGUAGCUCGGCAGGGAGAGGAAUAAUUAGGUGGAAACGACAGACAACCGCCGCGCAGUCCUGGAAAGGUCUCGUUCGCGCCACAACGCAAAUCACCAAGCUCGAUGAUCACCCGCGCCUACCACAAGACGCUAGAUAAGUGCCAAAGAGGCCUGCGAGGAGGAGACGUGGAAGACAUCUGAAGGAGGGACGGACCACCCCUCACUGUGGCACACUCACACUCAAAGGAAUCACACACACAGCACCGAGUAUGGAACAAAAAUGCCUGAAAAAGCUACACAGAACUGAAGACUCUGACACUCAAUUAUCAUGCCAUUCAUCUGAUGCCUUACAUAUUUAUUCAAUAAUUUCUCAUUACUUUUCAUGGCCGUGCACUCCCUACAUGGUUUGAUUUAAAAACGCUACUGCUUUCUAAAAUGAAUGGCUCUCAUUGUCUGAAAAUCCAUUUUAAUUCUUGUAAGUUCUCUAUUUUAAUCCCUUUCUAAUCAGCAUACUACGUAGUUUUCACACGAAACAUGCAUCAAACAUUGCAGUGAAUUAAAAUAUAGACAUUCUGCCAAGAGGGACUGCAAAGUAGUGUACGCUUAUCCUGGAGAACAUACCGUGCACCGUUUAUACCGUUUAUUCAGCAAACAGUGGGGCAGCUGUCCUUUAAUAGAAGACAGGGAUUCAACACCCAUUUUGGCAGGAUUUCAACCUGCUAACGUUUUCUUCAACGCUGAACUCUUAACCGAAGAGGGAGGAGCUGUUUUAAAAUGUCUUUUUCUUCUUUCCCCUGUCAAUCCCUCCUUCAACUGACAUCAAGACAAUUUUCAGUGGUAAAUUUAAAACAAGUCCCCAUGAAUCACUUCACUGCAUAUCCCACAAAGCCACAAGAGCUGGCCCCUGUCUAAACCAAUAUCUCAAAGCAUGUGACUCAUGGAUCUUGAAACUGUAAUCUCCAUUUUGACAAGAUGCAUUUUAUUUUUAGUUGUGUAGCAUCUAACCGAUGCCUUCGGGUGCUGAUCUCUGUCCCAAGGUCGCUUUUGCUGUUAACAUGAGAGACUGACACAUUUUUAAAUGCAUAUAACUGCCUGGAGGAACUAACAUGAACUCUUUGACCUUUCCUGUGGUUGCACAGGUUUUCUGUGGGGGACACAUGAUGACACGAAGGUAUUACAGCAUUUUCAUUAAUAACCUAUUUCAAUCUGUGUCACUUUUUUAAAUAUGAGGGCUCUAGAAAAAAAGGGAAAAAAAAGCAGUCCAGCAAUUAUUAAUCUGUCUAGAGACCAGUGUUGAUAAGUUUGCUCUUCAGAAUUCUCAAAGCAUAUUCUCAAUUGAUUUAUUUUUUCCUGUUGGCUAUUUAAAACAUUAAUAUAAUAAGUGUUGUAGGAAAACUAGAAUCUCCACAAAAGGACACAUUUUUUUAAACGUGUGUAAUUAAUAUAAUUCUAAAUUAUUUGCAAUAUAAUUGAAAACAAAAUCCAAAAUGUUUUUGGUUUUUACAUGCACCAUACGCAUUAUUUGAUUUAAAUAAACCCUUUAGGGAGGGAAAAAAAUAGCAUUCAAAAUCUGCUGGGGGAAUUCAUAACUCAGAAAGGGUUUUAAGACCACAAACCUCUCUAUUAAAAAAACCCUGUUUCCUGGUGGAGUGUGUGACACUGCAGCAAAAUCACCUGAUGCUGAGUGUUUGUGUACGAGAUAGUUGACACUCUACUGUAAGCUUUGUUUCUCUGUAUGGACCUAGUGUCACACAGCUUCACGUGAACUAUUUAUUCAUAUAUUCAUGCCUGGGGCCACCCUGUCCCCUCACUUCCCUCAGCUGUAAGCAGUUGCUACUAAAUACAACCACUGAGUCCGCAUUGAGACUGGGCGCGACCAGAAUAAUCAACUGAGGGGCACAGCAGACAAGAUGAUGCUUGUCUUAGCAAGUGAGUCUCUUAACAACCUCCAGUUCCCCAGCACUAAUGGCAUAGGUGACCCUUUUUCCAUAAUGUAAGUUACUUUACUAACACUAUAACUCAGCUUUGGCCAUUGUGUGUCUGUGUGUUUCUGCCCGGACGAGUGUAUAUGUGUGUGUGUGCACCAUGCCAGCUCAACAGGAACCCAGGCAAAAUAGGAUUCAGUGCGCUCGACUCCUGGACUGGCUAGAUGGAGAUUUUUCAUUUAAACAAUCUGCCGGUGCUGCUUAUGAUGUGUCUGUUUCAUGAUGCCUCCUCUCCCAGCCUGCAUGCUUCUAAAAAUGCAAUUUUACACAUCAUCUCGGCUCAAGGUGCACCCACAAUGCUCUGAGAAGUCUGCAUAUUUAAGAAGACAAUAAUUCUCCUCUGAAUAUAGGGUUUGAGCAGCCAUACAGAGAAAGCAGAGAGAAUGAGUUUUCUGCAUAAGGGAUUCUGCGUUGAUAGGAGUUUUCAGGACUUGCUGUACACGGCAGUGGUAGAGAUGUGCCGUCAAAGGCAGUGACUUCCUCCUUCUAAUCGUCCCUCGUCCCUUUGUCCUCUACACCACAACACCUGUCCAGUUAUUAUAAAGAGUAAAAUCUGUUUUUUUUUAAUACCAGUCCUCCAUCAACACCAGUGUCUAAUGGUGUAUUCUCCUUUCUGAUUGGAUAUUGUACUUACCAAAACAACCAGUGGUUUGUGGUUGUCUGUUUCUUGAAUAAUUUGACUAAAAAAAAACUGUAUUCAUUAUUUAAACAACUUAGAUUUUCUUUCACUUGUGCCAACUUUUUUCUUUUUUUUCUUUUUUCUUUUCUUUUUCUCUUUUUUUGGAAAAAAUGUUCUCAGAUCUUUUAGUUAAAACUAUGAGAAAGAUUGUACAGGCGUAUAAACUUUUUAAAAUUUUAUUUUAGCCAUUGUUUGAUGAACAUUGAUCCAAUUAAGAACUGUCAUUCUAAGUAGGAGAUUUGAUGUGAUUCUGAUAGUCGUGGUAUUUCGUAUCUGAAACGCUCACCCAUCUUUUGUAAGAUGCAAUUUGUUUGGAGUGAUUUGGACAAACAAACUUUUGUAACAAUUCCAUUGUAUUGAGCUACGAGCUACGGUGUUAGCCAUUGUAGAAGUUCCACAUCAUGCACAUCCCUGCAACAGUGAAAACUAUGAACACAUUAUGUUGUUUGAAUGAGGCAACACAAAACUAAAUAGCAAAACUGCAUCGUAAAUCCUCCGGUUUUAUCAGACCGAAUGGCUGGAAAGCUGUAGAUGAAAACAUUAUUUUAAUUACAAGAGAAACUUCUACAAUGACAACAUUCCUCAUUAUCCCUGUAAGUGAUUGUUGUAUUUUUCCUCCCAUCUCAUCUCUUAGGAUAAUCAGAAUUGUGUGUUUUUUAUAGAAAGUAGCGAGAGAGUCUCGGGUCCAAGGACCUGAACUGGUACAUCAUAUUAGUGUGGAAAACAUCCCAUCAUCCCAUCAUCGUAUCGCUUGUAACUAACAAACCUCAGCUGAUGAUAUGACUUGUGCUCAUGGUAAUUGUAAGAACGAGGAGGCAGGGGUAUGUAUGUAAAGGUGCCAUUUAUGUGGUGACUGGCGGGAAGCGCCCAGAGCAAAAGAAAAGUUUGCAACGUUACUUACACUCACUGCAAUGCACUUUACCUCGCAAGAUAUUCUGCUCAGGCAGCAAAGAUUUGUUUAAGAUUCGCAAAUACAACAUUGCCACUAACAGAGUGAACUAUUUGCAAAGUAUUUCUUUUAGUAAAUAGUUCCCAGCUGCCACAUAUCCAGUUCUUUCCUACUUUGUUAGUGCUUACUAUUGAUUUGUGCGAGACCCAAUUGCGGCUGAAUCAACAAGCAAUGCUCCUAAACAAACCCUGUCCGACCACAAUGUGUAAGCUGCCAUAUCCCUGCCUACCUUCCUUGUUGUCAUUGAGUAUGUUUUAAUGUCUUAAGAAACAUUUAUAUUUGUAACAUUUUAAGUUUAUUUGUAUCCUUAGGAACAUGAAAAAAACAAACAAAAAAAAAAACCCAAAAUGGUUAUGCACAUUGUCCUUCCAUAGAAUAUGUAAUGGGAUAUGAUACUAAAUAAUAACCACUUUGUUAUAUAAACUGAUUUCUGAAAGAUA